UACAGAGGGUGCGAGCGUUAAUCGGAAUUACUGGGCGUAAAGGGCGCGUAGGCGGCCCGCUAAGUCGAACGUGAAAUCCCCGAGCUCAACUCGGGAACUGCGUCCGAUACUGGUGGGCUCGAAUCCGGGAGAGGGAUGUGGAAUUCCAGGUGUAGCGGUGAAAUGCGUAGAUAUCAGGAGGAACACCGGUGGCGAAGGCGGCGCUCUGGGCCGGUACUGACACUGAGGAGCGAAAGCGUGGGUAGCAAACAGG
rnacentral:rRNA from 1 species